ensembl:misc_RNA 7SK 7SK RNA
AGAUGUGAGGGGUACCUGGCUGCACCUCUGUUCCCAGCUGCUAACCAGGGCUUAUUUGGUUGGUCUGACCGUCUAGACUGGGCUUCUCCUUUCUCCUUCACCAUUCCAGGAAGGUCCCUCCUGAAGCUGAACUCUAAGCAGACAAGUGUGACCUUCUCAGAUAAAGGAGGCUGUUUCUUGGUAAGGGGAGAAAUAGGGCUUAUGGGAGAACCAUCUCCAUGAUGCUCCAACUGCCACUCUGU